UACGAAGGGGGGCUAGCGUUGCUCGGAAUCACUGGGCGUAAAGGGCGCGUAGGCGGCCGAUCAAGUCAGGGGUGAAAGCCUGUGGCUCAACCACAGAAUUGCCUUUGAUACUGUUUGGCUCGAGACCGGAAGAGGUUGGUGGAACUGCGAGUGUAGAGGUGAAAUUCGUAGAUAUUCGCAAGAACACCAGUGGCGAAGGCGGCCAACUGGUCCGGUUCUGACG
rnacentral:rRNA from 1 species